rnacentral:rRNA from 1 species
GACGAACGCUGGCGGCGUGCCUAAUACAUGCAAGUCGACCUUAGUGGCGAAAGGGUGAGUAACACGUUGGUAACCUGCCCCUCAGAAGGGGAUAACACUUGGAAACAGGUGCUAAUACCGUAUACUGAUGGAUGGACCCGCGGUGCAUUAGCUAGUUGGUGAGGUCACGGCUCACCAAGGACACGAUGCAUAGGCGACCUGGGAGGGUGAUCGGCCACAGUGGGAAUGAGACACGGCCCAAACUCCUCCGGGAGGCAGCAGUAGGAAAUCUUCGGCAAUGGACGAAAGUCUGCCCGGGCAAAGCCGCGUAAGCGAAGAAGGUUUUCGGAUCGUAAAACUCUGAUGUUAGAGAAGCGGUAUCUAACCAGAAAGCCACGGCUAACUACGUGCCAGCAGCCGCGGUAAUUC